GUGGGGAAUUUUGGACAAUGGGCGCAAGCCUGAUCCAGCAAUGCCGCGUGCAGGAAGAAGGCCUUCGGGUUGUAAACUGCUUUUGUACGGAACGAAAAGGCUCUGGCUAAUACCUGGAGCUCAUGACGGUACCGUAAGAAUAAGCACCGGCUAACUACGUGCCAGCAGCCGCGGUAUUACGUAGGGUGCGAGCGUUAAUCGGAAUUACUGGGCGUAAAGCGUGCGCAGGCGGUGCUGUAAGACAGGCGUGAAAUCCCCGGGCUCAACCUGGGAAUUGCGCUUGUGACUGCAGCGCUGGAGUGCGGCAGAGGGGGAUGGAAUUCCGCGUGUAGCAGUGAAAUGCGUAGAUAUGCGGAGGAACACCGAUGGCGAAGGCAAUCCCCUGGGCCUGCACUGACGCUCAUGCACGAAAGCGUGGGGAGCAAACAGGAUUAGAAACCCCAGUAGUCC
rnacentral:rRNA from 1 species